AUACAUGAGCAAAAUCUCAACUUUAUUAGAAGAGACGCAUUUAUUAGAUAAAAAGCCAAUGCAUGCUUUUACAGUAUGAAAAUUGGUGUUUUAUAAUAACUAAGCAAAUCGCAGAGUGAAAACAGGCGAUAAAUCAUUCAAGUUUCUGACCUAUCAGCUUUUGACGGUAUGGUAUUGGCUUACCGUGGCAGUGACGGUUAACGGGGAACUAGGGUUUGAUUCCGGAGAGGGAGCCUGAGAAACGGCUACCACAUCUAAGGGAGGCAGCAGGCGCGCAAAUUACCCAAUUCUAACAGUUUGAGAGAGGUAGUAACAAGAAAUAACAAUACAGAGCAAUUAAAAUGCUUUGAAAUUGCAAUGAUAGAAAUUUAAACCCUUUUUAAAGUAUCAAUUGGAGGGCAAGACUGGUGCCAGCAGCCGCGGUAAUACCAGCUCCAAUAGCGUAUAUUAAAAUUGUUGCAGUUAAAAAGCUCGUAGUUGAUGUUCUGUUAAAAGUAACCGGUCUGCUUUUAAUAAAAGUGGUAUCUUGGUGUGUAUUUAGCAAUGAUGUCCUUUGAAGUGUUUUUUAUCUAAUUGUAAUAAAGCAUAUUCAGGACUUUUACUUUGAGAAAAUUAGAGUGUUUCUAGCAGGCCGACGCUUUGAAUACUGCAGCAUGGAAUAAUAAG
rnacentral:rRNA from 1 species